UGAUAUUUCAAUCCAAUAUCCACUGCCUAUUUUUAUGUGAAAAUUGAUCCCGAAAACUCCAAUCAAAUACACUCUUGUGUUUUUAUCAUUCAUUCAUGGUGUGUUGUUUCCGGCUAUGAUGUGAGCAACAAACUGAGAAUAAAGGAGUGUCUAAGCAUUUAAGCCAUACUCUUCAAUUCUGAGUUUGUUGAUCGUAUCAUGGCUAGAAUUAUGCUUAUGUUGAACUUGUAGGUGAAGAACCGCACCAUCUUGACGCUAAUGUCCAAUGAAGUUAUUAGUUCAAUGAAACUUAUAAACAUUAUCACAGUUAUUCUCUCUCUCUCUCUCAAAAUGAAAAAACUAUUCACAGUUGUUAUAUUCACACAGUAAUCAUUGCUUACAUAGAUCUGUCUUUUAUUUGUCCAAAUCUU
rnacentral:lncRNA from 1 species